AGAGUUUGAUCAUGGCUCAGAGCGAACGCUGGCGGCAGGCUUAACACAUGCAAGUCGAGCGGGCGUAGCAAUACGUCAGCGGCAGACGGGAGAGUAACACGUGGGAACGCGCCCUUCGGUUCGGAAUAACUCAGGGAAACUUGAGCUAAUACCGGAUAAGCCCUUACGGGGAAAGAUUUAUCGCCGAAGGAUCGGCCCGCGUCUGAUUAGCUUGUUGGUGAGGUAACGGCUCACCAAGGCGACGAUCAGUAGCUGGUCUGAGAGGAUGAUCAGCCACACUGGGACUGAGACACGGCCCAGACUCCUACGGGAGGCAGCAGUGGGGAAUAUUGGACAAUGGGCGCAAGCCUGAUCCAGCCAUGCCGCGUGGGUGAUGAAGGCCUUAGGGUUGUAAAGCCCUUUCGGCGGGGAAGAUAAUGACGGUACCCGCAGAAGAAGCCCCGGCUAACUUCGUGCCAGCAGCCGCGGUAAUACGAAGGGGGUUAGCGUUGCUCGGAAUCACUGGGCGUAAAGCGCACGUAGGCGGAUUGCUAAGUCAGGGGUGAAAUCCUGGAGCUCAACUCCAGAACUGCCCUUGAUACUGGCGACCUUGAGUCCGGGAGAGGUGAGUGGAACUGCGAGUGUAGAGGUGAAAUUCGUAGAUAUUCGCAAGAACACCAGUGGCGAAGGCGGCUCACUGGCCCGGUACUGACGCUGAGGUGCGAAAGCGUGGGGAGCAAACAGGAUUAGAUACCCUAGUAGUCC
rnacentral:rRNA from 1 species